rnacentral:rRNA from 1 species
AAUCAACGCUGGCGGCGUGCCUCAGACAUGCAAGUCGAACGAGAAAGUCCCCUUCGGGGGAUAAGUAAAGUGGCGCACGGGUGAGUAACACGUAGGUAAUCUACCUUCGGGUGGGGAAUAACCCAGGGAAACUUGGGCUAACACCGCAUAAUGCAGCGGCACCACAUGGUGACAGUUGUUAAAGCGGGGGAUUUUAGGACCUCGCGCCUGAAGAGGAGCCUGCGGCGGAUUAGCUAGUUGGUGAGGUAACGGCUCACCAAGGUAACGAUCCGUAGCCGGCCUGAGAGGGCGGUCGGCCACACUGACACUGACAUACGGGUCAGACUCCUACGGGAGGCAGCAGUCGGGAAUUUUGGGCAAUGGGCGAAAGCCUGACCCAGCAACGCCGCGUGAAGGAUGAAAUCCCUCGGGAUGUAAACUUCGCAAGAAUGGGAAGAAUUAGUAGGGGUUAAUACCCCCUAUGAUGACGGUACCAUUUGUAAGCUCCGGCUAACUCCGU